CCUACGGGUGGCAGCAGUCGAGAAUCAUUCACAAUGGGGGAAACCCUGAUGGUGCGACGCCGCGUGGGGGAAUGAAGGUCUUCGGAUUGUAAACCCCUGUCAUGUGGGAGCAAAUUAAAAAGAUAGUACCACAAGAGGAAGAGACGGCUAACUCUGUGCCAGCAGCCGCGGGAAUACAGAGGUCUCAAGCGUUGUUCGGAAUCACUGGGCGUAAAGCGUGCGUAGGCUGUUUCGUAAGUCGUGUGUGAAAGGCGCGGGCUCAACCCGCGGACGGCACAUGAUACUGCGAGACUAGAGUAAUGGAGGGGGAACCGGAAUUCUCGGUGGAGCAGUGAAAUGCGUAGAUAUCGAGAGGAACACUCGUGGCGAAGGCGGGUUCCUGGACAUUAACUGACGCUGAGGCACGAAGGCCAGGGGAGCGAAAGGGAUUAGAUACCCCAGUAGUC
rnacentral:rRNA from 1 species